UUGAAAAAAAUAGCUGCAAUUGUUGUAACGCGAGCUAUGAAAGACAACCUGCAUCUGCACCUGUGGUCACUGGGCCUCACAUCAUGUUUGCAGCAUGUUCUGAACCACAAACAGAGCAGUGCUAAAGUUUCUUGGAACUGGUGGGCUAGUGAUGUAGACACUGAUGCUAGUGAUUAUUUAAGGUGGGGCUACUGAAAUGUUUAAAAACUGAAGCCCCCAAAGUGCUUUUUGUUGCUCUGUGACACAAAUGAGCUCCAACCUGCUCAGGUAGAAUUUAAUAACAGCUGAGCUGCACUAGACCUGGUCUCUGCUCAUCUUGACUCCUCGUUUGAGCAUUUCAUUUACUGAAGACAUCUUCUACACCUGGUGUUCCAGACGACUGACUAGUGCCUCCUGCAGGUUAAUCAACCAACCACUGAUCAGUAAAGCAAAAAAUAAGGAAACAAUGAGGAUCCUGUUUACCUGUUUGCUGCUUAUGCUGCUCUUUGCCACUGGACUUUCAAAACCAGCCAAUCUUAAACCCAAACCAAUUGACAAGCGUCAGAAUGAAACCCCUUAUGAAAAGUUUAAACGACAGCAUGUAGAUGCCAAGAUGACUGCGAAAAAAUGUGAGGCAGAAAUAAAAAACAAGCAGAUCUACAAUGUUGACAACAGUUGUAAGGACACAAACACGUUCAUCCUUAGUGAUUACGAAAAGGUCAAAGCCAUUUGUAAUGGUCAUGGGUCACCUCAUAAGAAUACUUGCUUGACAGAGAGUAAAGCAAAGUUCAGUAUUGUUAAAUGUGAACUAAAGAAUAAUGGAGGCAGGAAACCCAACUGCCAGUAUAAAGGCAAACUUCUCACUAACAGAAUAGUUGUAGUCCAAUGUGGAGGAUUACCUGUGCACUUUGAGAAGGACAUAGUGACUUUUGAAUCCAAUAACGCAACUAUAGGAAAAAUCCCCAUGGACUCUACUUCUGUACCCACAAAUAUGCAUGUCUGAGAUAACAAAAGAGAAACAUUUAUCAUCAGCUCUGACCAAAAGUCGCUGGAAACAUCUUGUUCGUCACAAGUUUUCACUCGAGCCUGUCUUAUCAGUAACCAUUUACAUUUUUUUGAACAUGUGAUCGGCUUCACACAUUGCAUUAAAUAAUAUAAAACUAUUUUCAAACUAUAUUCAACCCACCAAUACUGAUAUAUUAAUUGUACUGACUGUAGGAUGCUGUGUAGAAAUAAUCUCUUCCAUCAAACUGGCUUCUAAUAAAAUAUUUUUAUUUGAUCGCA